AUCGCUUCUCGGCCUUAUGGCUAAGAUCAAGUGGAGUAUCUGUUCUUAUCAGUUUAAUAUCUGGUAUGUCCUCUAUUUGGGGGCAAUAUAUUAAAUGGAUUUUGGGGAGUGGGAGAUGGAAUAGGAGCUUGCUCCAUCCACUCCAGCAUCAACCUGGUAUUGCAGUAUCUGCAGGAAUGGUGCGUCUUCC